GCAUAUUAGUAGGCGGCGGAAGAUAACCCAAAAGGGAUUCCUUCAGUAAUGGCGAAUGAACGGGGAAAAGCUCAGCAAAGAAAUCAGGGACCCCGGCCUUGAGUUGUGGACUUGAGAGGUAUUGCCAAUGGUGGCGCAGGUGCGGGCCUCUUGGAAAAGGGCACCACAGAGGGUGUGAGUCCUGUUUGUCAUCUGUAGUCCGCCAUGUACGGCAUGAUUCCUCAGAGUCACGUUCCUUGGAAUUGGAGCGCGAAGGUGGUGGUGGCUUUCAUCUCAAGCUAAGUAUGGGUUCGAGACCGAUAGCAAACAAGUACCAUGAGGGAAGAUUGAAAAGAGCUUUGGAAAGAGAGUUAAAAGUGCCCGAACUUGCUGAUAGGGAAGCGAAGGGAGCUGACGUUGCUUGGUGACAUAUUCCGCGCAAGAGUAGGAUGGGUUCUGAUUGCWAUCUGCGUAGUGCUUCUUGCCGUGCGUGUCGAUGCCAAGCAAUGAGUGGGGAGAGCACCAGGGAUAAUGAUUGUUUCUGUCCCCGGGUGGACGAAGGUGCCUGGUCGCAUCCAUUUGUGGGCUGAAACAAAUGGUGGCUGGUUGCAGCGCCCUGUGCCUGCUAGGCAGUUGGGGUGCAGCCCUGAUACGCAGACGAGGACAAAGUGCUUCUGUUCGACCCGUCUUGA
rnacentral:rRNA from 1 species